CCAGAUAAUAUUAAUUCAUGUGAUUUAAAAUUCAGCUUUUCUAAUGUCUCGUCAAUAACAUUGAUAAUAC
rnacentral:sRNA from 1 species